GUUCUUUUUAGACAUAAGCCUAUUUACCUCUAUUGCCACUCCAAACAUGUGUUUUAAGCAAAAAGUUGCUUUUUUCAUCAUUUUCCGAUGGAGAAGUCGGUUUGGGGGGUAUGAUCGUGAUGCCAAACACACUCUUAGUCAUGCCUAAAGGCAGAUGAAUUGACAAAACUCUAUCAGUAUUUUAUAUCAAGAAAUUGCAUGGCAUGCAGAAAUACAUGAAUAAGGAACUAUACAGAACUAAAUUAGUAAAAGAGUAGGUGACUAUAAUAGAAAAGAAGCAUGAAGACAGCAAUCCAUUUUUGAUCCAAAGCCACAGGUCGUUCGAGCAUCAAGGAGCUAUCAAAUAUGGUGCUUACCUAAAGUGCAUUUUGCAUGAUUCUUUGCUCUGUCAUAAAGACGCCAUAAUUCUCAAGACUGCUGAGUUGUCCACCCAAAGUCGUGUGCCACAGAAAGUGCUUUAUCUUCUGUCAAGCCUUUCUCCAGGAAAUGUUAUAAUCAGCAGAGCCAUCUUAUCCUUGUGACUGGAAGGUUGUCCGGCAUGUUGGCUACUCUCUGCGGCAUCAUUUACAACUGGAUCAUGAAAUUAGCUAGACUGGACAUCAUUUCCCUUGACAUAAACGUGAUCUCUUGACUCAAACUCAUGAGAAAGCCGAGCCCUUAAAUUAUGACCAACUUCGGGCAAAGAUAUUGUAGCUUUGAAAUUUUGCACUGUCAGCAGAGGGCCCCCAGAAAUUGUCAUUGUUCAGACUCGAAGAUCCAUCCUUUCAUGAAGCCGCAAUUUCUAACAUUGUAAAUAACCUUGCCUACUUCCAAUAUCACUUUUGCUGAAUUGACUUUUAGUUCCAGUAGCAUUUUUUAUAUUCAUUUCUGUAGAUCCCGUGAAUAUGAAAAGCUCAACAGGCUGAGGAAUGGGACAAAAUGCCCAUAAUCACACCGUGGCUACGUACUGGCUACAGUCAAAGACUACCGGAUUGGGAUCCAUUUGAAUUUUUGGAACUUCCAUCAGUUUCCAAACUACUUGAGAAUAAUAUAGAAUAUUGGUAACUGGCAAUUAACUACGGAAGUACCGACUAAGGUUUCCAACCGC